ensembl:snRNA U6 U6 spliceosomal RNA
UAAAAUAAAGCUUUCCUUACACCAAAAUUGGAACAACACAGAGAAGCUUGCAUAGCUUCUGUGCAAGAAUGCCAUGAAAACUCAUGAAGCAGUCCAUAUUUUA